UAUCUUUCACAGAUUGAAAUUUAAAUAUGUAUGCUAAGAAUUUUAGAUAGAUAUUAAAAAAUUUGCACUUUAAGAAAGUGGGUUAGGGUUAGGGUUAGGUCGUAUCUCAACACUGCUUAACUACAAUGUGUAGAUUCAAGAAAAGAAAUACACAAUUUAAACACAGAAACACAGACACCAACACAGUACAUGAGACUUAGUGGGUGGGGGUGGGGGGUUACCUGUGGAUCAAUCCAAGAGUGCAGCUGUAAAGCACAUCUCCAGACAAUGCACAGGAGGGGGGGUGAGUAGUAAGAAUGCAGAGGUCAAGAAGGGAUGGGCAGAGAGUGUCAUCCUUUGCACACAGCUGUUUUUACACUCUGUAGAAGCAAAUAUGUUUUGGUAGAGCCAAGGGUAGCAGCACUCAGCUCACGAGGGGAGUCUGGUUAGAUUAAAUUCUUUUGGGCGCUUGCAGUUAUUUGUUCUGCUGGUUGAGUCCUUGACUGGUCUGGCAGAUUUGGAGGGAGAUUUUGAUCCAAAAGUGGGCAUUUUAGACCAGUCCUCCCUCAAUUCAAGCAGAAACACGGUCCAAGUUGACAUCCAUCUUCCGCACAAGUUUAAGGGUCGCAAGACCCUGCUUAAGUGGGCAAGACAAGCACAGUGCUUUUGAUCCAUUCAUGAAAGUUUCUCGUUGUGAGUCUCUACUGCCCGAAGAAUUUUCACACAGAGCUUGGACUGAUCGCCUCUCUCCGUCUUUUGCUCCCAGACUGCCCAAUAAAUCAGAAAUCUUCCAAUCCCAAUUGGGAGAAAUCCAAUUAUCAGAAAUCCGAAUAGAUGCAUAUCUUUUAUAUCUUCCAGAGACAGCUGAGCCAAGGACACCAGCCUCUACUUGCCCCAUAGAUUGUUGGUGUAUCCAGUCGCAUGGGUUCCGUCUGGGCAGAAAGGGUCCUGUAGGUUUCCAAUAAACCUAUCAGGGCGGGAGCGUGUGGCUGACGCAUGUUCUCCACAAGAAAAAAGCAAAACAAACAAAAUGGUGGAAGUGUGCGAAAGAAAUGGGGGAAAAAAAGGAUGUCAUCCACUUGCAGUCGUUUCCUUGCUUUAUUAACAUCCACAAAAAUAAAAAUAAAACAACAAACAUAAAAUCCACUUACUUUCUUAUUCUUAUAUGAACUUGAACAUAAACAUGUACAUGAUCAAAAAAAGACCGUCGCGCUCCUCACUCUGUCUCCUGCAACUACCGACACACCAAACUCCCCCGCCCCUCUCUCAUGUCGGGUGCGCUACGUUCUUAAAGGUACAGGAUCCUAUUUCUCUGCACAUAACAAAAAUCUUCUAAUAUAUACACAACCGAUAUAUUAUUCAAAUAAUCUUGAUAGAGAAAAUAAAACGCAGCAAAAAAUAUAACUGAGAUCAAACAUUAUCUACUUUCAUAACUAAAACUAAGUUCAGGUUUAAACUCCACCAAUUGAAAUUAACAUAAAUCUUGUGACCUCACAUAUGGCACUUACAGGUCCGCUUUCCCAUUCCUUAGUGUGGAGAAACCUUUGUUAAUCGAAUUCAGAGACCAGCUGAUCAGAUCCAUUUUCAGAGUGCAAAAAAGCAGAAGUUGUAAAAGGUUUAGAAAAAUGCAGGCUCUGGGGCGGACAGAACAAAAAGCCUUGGGAACGGGCUGACACAGGAGGAGCAAGAGGAAAAGCAGUCUGUCCUCAGCGAGAGUCUAGCAGAUCUUUUGUUUCCUUCACACAGUGUUGGCACUUAUUUACAAGUUAUUCUAGGACAGUGUUGCUGUCAUACAGGAAUAUUUGUCUGCAUCAUAUUUGCCUUGCCUGCACUUGCAGUGAACCAACUGUAGCCCACUCUGUAGCAAGACUGUUAUUCAUCCAGGUCACUUUUAAUUUUCCAUCCUCAAUGUGCAAUCCACUACCAAUGGGUGAGGGAGUACACAUGGUACCUUUCAGACAAUUUCUCAUUAUUGCUGCUUGUUAAUAAUGUGUCCUUUCGCUGUGUGGGUGUAGAGAGUCACAUGUUAGAGGCAUGGAUAGUUCUGGCAGAGCAUAAGAUGCCAGGUAAAAUGCUUUGUCUCAUCUGUUUCUGCAGACGACUGGUCGUACAGGUUCCAAAUAUAUUCGCAAAGAAUUUCAAAGGUGAACUGAUCCAGCCUAAAACUUUUACCCACGUUUGCAAAUCCAGUGAGGCAUUCCUCUUUCUCACAGGCAGUAAAACCCUUUCCCCCCUAGACAUUAAAAACACUUGUAGAGUCACAACCUGAAAAUGUAUGAAUCCCAAAAA